UUUUGAAUAACAAGAAGAUGAACAAAAUUGGAUGAAAAAAAUUAAUCAACACAAAUUCCAACCAAUUAGAACAGAUCUAAGCACUUCAAUAGUUGAACGGAUCUGGAUUGCGUCAACAUGGAGCUUGACAUUCUGGAGGAGCUAUGAACAAAUUCCAACCAAUUCGAACAAAUCUGUGUUUGGUUCCAAUUGUCUUCAAUGUCAACGUCUUCAUCGACUCGCAUGGAGCACUUGUUCU
rnacentral:lncRNA from 1 species